AGAAGAAGAAGCGGAAGAAGGAGAAGAAGGGGGAAAAGAAGAAAGGGUUUUUGGCACGUGCAUACCACGGAUGCCUCGCCAAGCCGGCUCAACUUUAUAACGCAGCACCCGGAUCGCGAGAUCGAAGGAUCAAAUAACACACACGUUAUUUGAUUUUGGGGCAUCCCCAGGUCCCAAGGUUAGCAACUAGUAAGACAAGAAUGCUUUUGGAAAACUUUUGGGAGUUCUAUUUUGGGUAUGGUUUAAGAAAGUGGUGUAUAUAAUUUUUGCUAGUGGUUGGACUGGUUAAGUUUUAAAUGUAUAUUUCUUUUUGGUAGAUUAUAAAAACUCUAAUGUUGCAACAAACUUGUUAAGUUAUCUGAUAUGUAUAUAUAUAGCUUGAGAUAUACAUAAUUCAUGGAAGGUUGGCCAUGUCAUCCCCAUUCCUUGUAGUUUUGGGGUGUGACAGCUUGUUUGCAUUGAGGAUCCUGAGUGGAUGAUUUGAGCUCAGCAGGAGGUGCAGGGGAAGGGCACAUUGUGCAGAUGGAAGAACUGGAGUUGGUGCAGUGAGUAAACCAUGCAGGAUAAGAAUGACCUCAGCUUGUUUUUCAGAA